rnacentral:rRNA from 1 species
GUGGGGAAUAUUGGACAAUGGGCGAAAGCCUGAUCCAGCCAUGCCGCGUGUGUGAAGAAGGUCUUCGGAUUGUAAAGCACUUUAAGUUGGGAGGAAGGGCAGUAAGUUAAUGCCUUGCUGUUUUGACGUUACCGACAGAAUAAGCACCGGCUAACUUCGUGCCAGCAGCCGCGGUAAUACGAAGGGUGCAAGCGUUAAUCGGAAUUACUGGGCGUAAAGCGCGCGUAGGUGGUUUUGUAAGUUGGAGGUGAAAUCCCCGGGCUCAACCUGGGAACUGCCUCCAAAACUGCAUGACUAGAGUACGGUAGAGGGUAGUGGAAUUUCCUGUGUAGCGGUGAAAUGCGUAGAUAUAGGAAGGAACACCAGUGGCGAAGGCGACUACCUGGACUGAUACUGACACUGAGGUGCGAAAGCGUGGGGAGCAAACAGGAUUAGAAACCCCAGUAGUCC